AUUAUUUUAGUAAAACUUUAUUACGUCGUCUUGAUAAGGCGGAGUUCCUUUGGAAAUAAUA
rnacentral:tRNA from 2 species